rnacentral:lncRNA from 1 species
CUCAGUCGAGAGGGCCUUAUACUUGGGUGCUAUCUGAGUGUGGGGAUUUGUAGUCUGGAAACCUGGUCGAUAGACAAGGGUGCUUGUUGAAGGCAAGGGAACUCCAAGAUGAGAUAGGGUACCUAUAUAUGACAGUGGUUUAAGUGAUGGGUCAUAGAUCAUGCACUUGCCUUGGAUAGUGAGGAGGCAUUUCGUCAUACAAUGUAUGGGAGACAUUGUUGAUCGUGUUCUUGAGGACUAUGAAGACCAAGGAGUCAUGAGUAGUGAUCCCGUACUUAGUGUACUGGUUUAGUAGGGAAGCCUUGUGUUAAGGCACCAUUAAGAAAGGGGUCGUCCCAAACUUGUGGAGUGCGAUGGGGGACUUGGAUAUAGAUUGUGUGCCGAGUGAGGAGCUUUGCGGAGCGUAUUCUGGUAGACAUAUUCCGCUGCGAGAUAUUGAGUGCUGUCCGUGCUAAGGACAGGUUAGGUUAGCUCAGAUGGUGGGACAUGCUGAGCGCAACACGGGGAGAUAUCCCGAAAGUGUUGGAUCUGGUUCCACCAUCAUUGGAAAAGGCAGGCGUUUCAAAAAAAUACCAGGAGACCACUACAAAAAAAAGGUAAAAGCACAGCCGGGCGGAAGGAUGGAGCGAGCCUAUUCCAAACAAUAGAGCUCAACAUUUCCAAAUUAGAGUAUUUACUUCAUUGACAGUAGAAUGCUCCAUUUUCAUAUUUAUAUGUAUAUAUAUAAUACAACCGACCAAAUCCAGAAGAAUAAUACACAUCCAAGGAAAUUAGCAUACUUCUUUGAACCAAUGGGCAAAACCUGUUGUCCCUUUUUGGGCAUAAAUGCAAAGUUAUGUGAAAGGUUUGGCUAGAGCUAAUUGGUCGUUCUUGGUGUAUGCGGAAUUCAAACAUUAGGGCUUUAUUUACAUAGUCGAUACAUACAGGGUUUCUUGGACAAGUUUUGUCAAUGGGGUAAGACGAGAUCCUACGGUUCACUUUUGUAUCUUUAGCAUUCCACUUCACUCCACAAGGGGAAUCAUGGAUGAAGCAAAUCAAGACAAACCGGGCGUACUCCUUCCCAACCUUCUGAACACAAAGCUUCUCUUAUGAUUUUCGCUACUUUAUUUAGUUUAGGGAUGGAUAUCUUAGAGAGUCUAAGCCCGUAGUACCCUCUGAGGUUGGUGAAGGGAAGUGAAACGUAAGCGAGGUUUCGAAGAAACGAUACAAAAUAUACAUUUUUCUCUCUCGUCUCUAUAUUCUUCGAAAUGUUCACAAGUUUCUCAGGGGUUCUGUUCCAGCCAAUCCUAAGUGCUUUGAUAGCGUGCCAGCCGAGCGACUAGCUUUCAGGUAAUAUGCAUUUCCUAUCCUAAGGUCAGCAAGUAGGUAAGCAGAAAGAUUUCCCAAGGUAGCAAACAAGUCCAAUUCCGGGCGAAAUGGGGUUCUCUUUUAUUUGCCAAGUCACGCAGGAUAGUCAAGUAAGAAAAUAGACCAUAAGCCAUCCUUUAUCUUUUUUUUCUAAGAAAGGAACAAUAAAUAGCUCAUAGUUUCCUUGCAACUGCCCUAAGAGUUGUUCUUCUAUCAUCAGUGAGAGUUUACUUUGCUGUCGAUGCAGGCAAUAAUAGAUAGAUUUCUGUACAUAGUUGGGCCCAGGCUAAGAAAUAAAUAAUAAAUGGAUUCCUCCCCCUUUAGCAUAUGCUUAUGUAGCACUCCUAUUUGGAAUAAGCUUAUGGGCAAAUACUAGAAUAUGCUUUUCUCCAUUCGGAGAUUUAUAUUCUUUCUCUUUAUUUUGGAAAAUAAGUUUUUAAGCAAGUGAGCAAGCCAUACCAUUCAUCCUCCACCUCCUCGUCCAUGAAGUCCGUUGACUUUCUUUUUCCGGUAAAGGCAGCAUAUGCCCUAAGAGCCUAUUUUUCCACAUCAAGAGGAAAGGAAUCAGUCCCACACACAACCCCAAAAGAAUAAACUGGAUGGACUCCUAUUCGCGCGCCUAUGGACCGAUGGUUCCCAACCAGUAAUUAGUGCCCCCCCUAUGGACCACUCCUAUGUAACUCCAACAGAAAAGGGAGAAAGAAUAUAAAUGGAAUAUUAUGGGCUUGCUCACCCUAAGCAACCGAAGGAAACUCGUAUAGAAAUACAGGUUUUGCUUCCGCAUAAGAAAGGUCGCUACAAAGCUGGCUCACAACAGUUCUCUCCUCUAGAGUGUAAAAUCAUGGAUGGAGCUUGAUGCAACAGCCACUAGAUUCCUACCUUUAGUGCUUGCCAAUGGAUGGUCCUUCUUUCCCUUCCGAUACAGAAAAAUGAUUUAUUGGCCUUCUCACUAGUGGUCCCAAUCCUUGACUCCAGUAUGUAUUUCAUAUCAGGUGCCCUACUCCUUUUUAUAGAUAGAUGUGUUUGGAGACUGAUAACGCUUGUGAUCUCUUUCUUUUUCUAUUGGUUAAGGAAUGCUAAUAAUGAAAUAACUGAUAGAGCUGCUAAUGGAUUUCAUGUCCCUCUUGAUCUCCAUUCUCAUUGGACGUUUUGACUUAGUAGCUAUGUGAUUUUUCAGUUUGAUCCGCGUACUUUAUUUCUUCUUUCACUACUUCCUUUCGUCUCUCUUCUUCGGGCCCUGUAUUGGGAACCAUUCUUUUCCCGUUUCCCAUUAGAAUAGCAUUCCUUCCAUUCUGCCAACCAACCAUAUCUCUUAUCCCUAGCUCGGCUCUUUUAGAACCAAUUUCCAUCUUUCCACUGACAGCUGUGAAGAGCUCCCCUUCACUAGGUAUGGUUGUUUUUGGUUCAUAAUGGUGGUCUAGGAGAACCCAAAACUAGAGCACACACGGGAUAUGCAUUUUUUUUCUAUGGUUUCUGAUUGUUGCAACUACCUGUCUCUUUUUUUUUUACUUUAUCAGAUAUUUCAUAAAACGAACUCUCUAUGGAUCCCCACCAUAGAAGGGCAACAAGAGCUAAUGGACUCGGUUAGGGGAACAAAUGAUAACGACUCGUCUGGUUCGAACUGACAUUAUUUAUAUACUCAGACCUAUAUUCCAUGAAGGAGUCGCGAAACUUCUGUUAGGUUCUUAUCUGAGAUUCUGUCUAUACGGAGCAUAUGUUGGUUUAGAAUUGCUCGGGAAUUCAUUGAUAGUGACUUUUUAAGUUCUAGGUUUUCUAGUCUACUCCUCUUUUUUCUCGAUCGAGCCGCUUUCGCUCAUUCUACUCGUCCAGCCCUCUUCACGAACUUGUACAAUCAAUGCCACAAAGAUAGCAAACUCGAUUAUCGAAUAUAUAAGGAAAGGGGCGACGGUUUGGCACCAGAUAUCCGGGGGUGUGGAAAGAGCAGCUGUGAAAAGCGGAAAAACCAUCAAAAAACGACGAUUGCUCGUGAAGGUUUCCACAGAAAGACCCCUUGGUUCUGGCAAACAGAUCACAAUUACAGGUACCUGGGAGCAUACCGACGGAAUGAACAAAAUACGAACAGUUAACAUAAUAUAGUCAUAGAUCUUAGGUUGUAACUUGAUCAUGAGCGAAUUUGUUGAUGUUGCACCCACGAAGUAUGGAAAGUGCCAAACAUUGGGAACUACCCGGGGAGGAGUUAGGAGCAGGAACAAGGAGAAGCGAGAACCACUUAAAUGGAGGAUUCUAUUGUAUUUCUGCCUUUGUUCCCCAUAGCAACUAGGGAUCGAAAAGCACCAAAUUUGAUGACUUAUUAAGGGAAAGACGAAGUAAGAGCAUGCUAUUGAAGACGUUGCAACAUAUGUCGGGGGGGGGGGCCUCCGUUGAUUGUGUACAAACAAAAUACGAGUCCAAAGGUAGGGUAAUAAAGGGUUUAGCUAAUGGAGAAAUUGACUCUUCCGGGAACCAGUAACGCGUAAACCAUGUCAAACCAAGACCGAUCAAUAUCCGAACGGAACGGAUUCAAACUUCUCCUAGAAAAGUUUCCGGUGCGAAAUUCAAAAAAAUGAGUAAUUCAAAGGAAAAAUGAAAUUGAGGCAUGCGCCGGACUGAAGAGACUGAUUCCUUUCUCCGAGACCUUUUCUUUGUUUGCGUCAGAGAAUCCCGCACCCUGUUUGCAAUCAAUGCAAAUUAGCAUUGCUCAAGACCCCGAGAAGGCCCUGAUAGAAGUGGGACCGUCUCUUAUGAGCUUUGAAGUCCCUUUUCCAUUUCCGUAAUUCCUUUGUGACAAAAUCCCCUGCUAAUCCCCCAGCACGCAGUUGUCCAACCUGGGUUUUUAGAUAGUGGUUGAUUGCCCUGGAUUCGUAACUACUACCCUCGCCCCCCAAUAUCUUUUUAUUACGAUUCGCUCAUUUUGAAGGUUCGUUCUGCUUUUGGUCUUCAAGAAAUUCAGAAUAUUUCUGAAUUCCCGUUUUUGCGCUGGGUCAAGCGUGUCCCCCUCCAGAAAAUCCGUAAUGGGAUCGUCCUGAGCAGGCGGGGCGUCCUGAGCAGGUGGGGGUCCAGAAUCAAUUCCAAAGUCCAGUGCCAACUUCAUGAUCAAAAUCAACUAUCGCCUUCUCGGGACUCGACCUAGAACUUCUUUCACUUUAAUAUGCCUCGUCAGUGAGAAAGCAUCUAAUCGAAGAGCAGCACUAAAGAAGCACGCUAGACUUCCUACUUUUUGGGUUUUUAAGGUGACCGAUGCCUUUCAAAAGUGUGCUUUGGGCCCAUCCUUAGUACUUGACGUAGAAUGGAGCUAGUUAUCCAUUUUCAAAAGCGGAUUCGGUGGUUCAAGAAGUAGAAUUAUGCAUAGAUUGCCGAAAGAAAGACGAAUAAAGACGAAUGGAAAGGCCUGUGGACAUGACCAAAACAAGGGCUAGUAGCACUUUUCUCAGGAAUUGCCCCUGCAGACGGAGGACAAAGGGUUUUCAUCUCGCGAAGAAUCAGCAGUUGUGUUGUAUAUUNNNNNNNNNNNNNNNNNNNNNNNNNNNNNNNNNNNNNNNNNNNNNNNNNNNNNNNNNNNNNNNNNNNNNNNNNNNNNNNNNNNNNNNNNNNNNNNNNNNNGCUGAGAGGCCGUCUGUGGCGUGCGCGCCGGCAGCUGGAUGCCAUCCUGGACAAGAUCAUCGCUGAUGAACGCAGGGAGGGGCGGCGAGGUGACCACCUUCUCGGAGUUCUGCUUAGGAUCAAGGAUGAGGGGAACCUUGAAUUCCCCAUCGACAUGACAAACAUCAAGGCCAUCAUAUUGGUACGUGUCAAGCUUCAUGCACUAGCAAACGUAAUAAAAGUCUAAAUAGAUUGAAAAUGCUAGACAAUCCAUGAUAUACACUCCAACAAUAUGAUACUAAAUAGAUCUAAUUUCUUUUAUCCGAGAGUAACUUAAUUUUCAUUUUUGUUCAUGCCCCUUCAGGAUAUGUUCACGGCAGGGACGGAGACGACGUCAGCAGUGGCCGAGUGGGUCAUGGCCGAACUCAUUAGGAACCCAAAGGUGAUGGCCAAGGCGCAGGCUGAAGUGCGUCGUACCUUGGACACCAAGAACCCAAUAGACCAUGAAGAAUACAUAGAUGAUCUGCACUACACCAAAAUGGUGAUCAAGGAGACCAUGAGGUUAANNNNNNNNNNNNNNNNNNNNNNNNNNNNNNNNNNNNNNNNNNNNNNNNNNNNNNNNNNNNNNNNNNNNNNNNNNNNNNNNNNNNNNNNNNNNNNNNNNNNAUAUAAUAAUUAAUUAAUGAGUUAAUGAAUUAGUUAAAUAAAUAUAUAAGUUAAUCUGUUAAUUAGAUUAAUUAAUUAGAAUAAUUAGAGUAUGACACGUGGGUCCCCUACUAAAUUAAUCUGAUUAAUUAAUAUUUAAUCUUAAAUAAAACCUAUGACUAUGACGACGGGGACCCACUGGCCAGUUUGACCAGUCAACCAUUGAUGUCAGCAUGACAUCAUGCUGAUGUCAUAAUAGCCUUUUAUUAAAUCAUUUAAAUCUGUUUUUAAUUCCUAAAUAAUUAAUAAAACUUUGAAAAUUAAUAUAAAAUAAUCCGUAAGUCAGAUCAAAUUAUUUUCAACAUGAAAGUUGAUCAGCAAAACGAGACGAACCCGCAUACACGUUCCAUUCGUCUGUCACGCGUCCCUAGCAUAGCAAACAUGGAACAUUUUCCAUCGUUUCCAGUAUUACCGGUAGUAGCCCGAGACCCGGAAAAUAUCGUCAGAUAUUCUUCCGACCCGUCUAUGACGGGUGUUGCUGCGUUAGCUCAUGUCUAGCCUGCAUCUUGCCAUGUCAUGCUUUGUGUUGCANNNNNNNNNNNNNNNNNNNNNNNNNNNNNNNNNNNNNNNNNNNNNNNNNNNNNNNNNNNNNNNNNNNNNNNNNNNNNNNNNNNNNNNNNNNNNNNNNNNNGAUAUAAUAAUUAAUUAAUGAGUUAAUGAAUUGGUUAAAUAAAUAUAUAAGUUAAUCUGUUAAUUAUAUUAAUUAAUUAGAAUAAUUAGAGUAUGACACGUGGGUCCCCCACUAAAUUAAUCUGAUUAAUUCAUAUUUAAUCUUAAAUAAAACCCGUGACUAUGACGACGGGGACCCACUGGCCAGUUUGACCAGUCAACCAUUGAUGUCAGCAUGACAUCAUGCUGAUGUCAUAAUAGCCUUUUAUUAAAUCAUUUAAAUCUGUUUUUAAUUCCUAAAUAAUUAAUAAAACUUUGAAAAUUAAUAUAAAAUAAUCCGUAAGUCAGAUCAAAUUAUUUUCAACAUGAAAGUUGAUCAGCAAAACGAGACGAACCCGGAUACACGUUCCAUUCGUCUGUCACGCGUCCCUAGCAUAGCAAACAUGGAACAUUUUCCAUCGUUUCCAGUAUUACCGGUAGUAGCCCGAGACCCGGAAAAUAUCGUCAGAUAUUCUUCCGACCUGUCUAUGACGGGUGUUGCUGCGUUAGCUCAUGUCUAGCCUGCAUCUUGCCAUGUCAUGCUUUGUGUUGCANNNNNNNNNNNNNNNNNNNNNNNNNNNNNNNNNNNNNNNNNNNNNNNNNNNNNNNNNNNNNNNNNNNNNNNNNNNNNNNNNNNNNNNNNNNNNNNNNNNNGCAAAAGAUCUGUGAGACCAGGAUGUUGGGCCUCGACGCGAAUGAGAGGUCCUUGUCCCGGAGCACCUCCUGCGCCGCGGCAGGCGAGGAGACGACGACGGUGUCCAUCUGGCCGAACCGGAGGUACAUGACCGGGCCGUGCUUCUUGGCCAGGUCCCGGAGGGCGACCUGCGGCUGCGACGUGAGGACGUGGUGGAGGCUUCCGAUCAAGGGGAGGCGCCAUGGGCCUGGAGGCCGCCUAUGGUUUUUCGGUUUGCGGCUCAGUACCGAUGCAAGGACGACGAGUGAGGCGAGAGUGAGGAGCAUGAGGGUGGCUGCGCUUUGCUCCAUCAUCAUCACCAUCAGGUUUGCUUGCAGCACAAAUAGAAAUGCCUUUUAGUGUGGGAUAAGACUCACGAACACCUUUUCUAUAUAUAUAGGCGCCACAUCCUUAGUGUGGCAUAAAAUUUGACAACUCGAACAUUGCUUGUAGAUCAGCCUGCACAUCAGUUUUCCAGUUUUCCAGUCAAAGCUCCAUAAGUUGUACAAUUGAAUACAUAAAUUAAUAGAGUACACUUGACCAUACUUAGUCAUGGACAUGUUCCUUGAGACCUUGACNNNNNNNNNNNNNNNNNNNNNNNNNNNNNNNNNNNNNNNNNNNNNNNNNNNNNNNNNNNNNNNNNNNNNNNNNNNNNNNNNNNNNNNNNNNNNNNNNNNNCCUCAUGCAUGUGUGAAAGUGAUGUGACAUGCGUAGACGCCCGUCGCGGCGCUCCCGUGUGUGUCCCCCUUCAUGUACGACAAUGUCGUCGUCACUUUGAGGGGGAAAUAGCCGUGUCGGGUCGACAUGGAGGGAACCUAGUGAUGAGUUGGACUCAGACAAUGUUCUUACAUGUUUCUAUGGGCUGACCUAUCGAAACGAGGUGGAAGAGUCCAUUGGUCAAAGCCCGUCCGACGCAAGUCAAAGGCCUAGAUCUACUGGUCAACGAGGCUAGGGUUAGUCCGGUCGGGUGGCUGUCAGGGGUAGCUAUGCCACCGAAACAUCGCGUCGGGUCCUCAUGCAUGUGUGAAAGUGAUGUGACAUGUGUAGACGCCCGUCGCUGCUCUCCAGGGUGUGACCCCUUCAUGUACGACAAUCUCGCCGUUACUUUGAGGGGGGAAAUAGUCGCGUCGGGUCGACAUGUAGGGAACCUAGUGAUGGGUUGGACUAAGGCCAUGUUCUUACAUGUUCCUAUGGGCUGACCUAUCGAAACGAGGUGGAAGAGUCUACUGGUCAAAGCCCGUCCGACGCAAGUCAAAGGCCUAGAUCUACGGGUCAACGGGGCUAGGGUUAGUCCGANNNNNNNNNNNNNNNNNNNNNNNNNNNNNNNNNNNNNNNNNNNNNNNNNNNNNNNNNNNNNNNNNNNNNNNNNNNNNNNNNNNNNNNNNNNNNNNNNNNNGCUAACAUAGAUGCUUGUAGCCCCGGCUAACUCUGUGCCCAACAACUACGGUAAGACGGGAGGGGGGGGGGUGUUCUUCGGAAUGACUACGCGUAAAGGCAUUUAUGCGGUGAAUCAGGUUGAAAGUGAAAGUUGCCAAAAAGUGGCAGAAUUUAAAGUGCUAGUUAUGGAUGAAAGCACAUAUGCUCCCUUGAUGGUUUUUAUAAUUCAUGGUAACAUACAUUGUCUGUUCGACUAAUACUUUUACCUAGUAAAUUUCAGAUAUAGUCCACAGAGAUCACUGCCUAAUGGAUUGUGUGGAGAAGCCCCAAGGAAGGAAAGGAAUAAGAUUGGCCAGCUUCAAGCUACAAGACUCUACAUUUUAUAUUUGUGAGAAAUCACUUUUAGGUCCAUAGGAAAGCCAAUACUAUUAAAAUGUUGGAAAUAUGCCCUAGAGGCAAUAAUAAAAUGAUUAUUAUCAUAUUUCCUUGUUCAUGAUAAUCGUCUAUCGUUCAUGCUAGUCUAUCGUUCAUGCUAUAAUUGUAUUAAUAGGAAACAGUAAUACAUGUGUGAAUGAAUAGAUCACAAUGUGUCCCUAGUAAGCCUCUAGUUGGCUAGCUCGUUAGUCAAUAGAUGAUCAUNNNNNNNNNNNNNNNNNNNNNNNNNNNNNNNNNNNNNNNNNNNNNNNNNNNNNNNNNNNNNNNNNNNNNNNNNNNNNNNNNNNNNNNNNNNNNNNNNNNNCGGCACCUCCGCGUUCAGCACACGUACAGCUCGACGAUGAUCUCGGCCUUCUUGAUCCAGCAAGAGAGACGGAGAGGUAGAAGAUUUCUCCGGCAGCGUGACGGCGCUCCGGAGGUUGGUGAUGACCUUGUCUCAGCAGGGCUCCGCCCGAGCUCCGCGGAAACGCGGUCUAGAGGAAAAACCAUGGAGGUAUGUGGUCGGGCUGCCGUGGAAAAGUCGUCUCAAAUCAGCCCUAAAACCUCCGUAUAUAUAGGUGGGAGGGAGGGGGGCCUUGCCUUGGGGUCCAAGGACCCUCAAGGGGUCGGCCGAGCCAAGGGGGAGGACUCUCCCCCCCCCAAACCGAGUUGGACUAGGUUUGGUGGGAGGGAGUCCCCCUCCCUUCCCACCUCCUCCUUUUUUUUCCUUUUUCCUUUGAUUUCUUAUCCUUGGCGCAUAGGGCCCUUUUGGGCUGUCCCACCAGCCCACUAAGGGCUGGUGCGCCACCCUUAUAGCCUAUGGGCUUCCCCGGGGUGGGUUGCCCACCCCCCGGUGAACUCCCGGAACCCAUUCGUCAUUUCCGGUACAUUCCCGGUAACUCCGAAAACCUUCCGGUAAUCAAAUGAGGUCAUCCUAUAUAUCAAUCUUCGUUUCCGGACCAUUCCGGAAACCCUCGUGACGUCCGUGAUCUCAUCCGGGACUCCGAACAACAUUCGGUAACCAACCAUAUAACUCAAAUACGCAUAAAACAACGUCGAACCUUAAGUGUGCAGACCCUGCGGGUUCGAGAACUAUGUAGACAUGACCCGAGAGACUCCUCGGUCAAUAUCCAAUAGCGGGACCUGGAUGCCCAUAUUGGAUCCUACAUAUUCUACGAAGAUCUUAUCGUUUGAACCUCAGUGCCAAGGAUUCGUAUAAUCCCGUAUGUCAUUCCCUUUGUCCUUCGGUAUGUUACUUGCCCGAGAUUCGAUCGUCAGUAUCCGCAUACCUAUUUCAAUCUCAUUUACCGGCAAGUCUCUUUACUCGUUCCGUAAUACAAGAUCCCGCAACUUACACUAAGUUACAUUGCUUGCAAGGCUUGUGUGUGAUGUUGUAUUACCGAGUGGGCCCCGAGAUACCUCUCCGUCACACGGAGUGAGAAAUCCCAGUCUUGAUCCAUACUAACUCAACUAACACCUUCGGAGAUACCUGUAGAGCAUCUUUAUAGUCACCCAGUUACGUUGCGACGUUUGAUACACACAAAGCAUUCCUCCGGUGUCAGUGAGUUAUAUGAUCUCAUGGUCAUAGGAAUAAAUACUUGACACGCAGAAAACAGUAGCAACAAAAUGACACGAUCAACAUGCUACGUCUAUUAGUUUGGGUCUAGUCCAUCACGUGAUUCUCCCAAUGACGUGACCCAGUUAUCAAGCAACAACACCUUGUUCAUAAUUAGAAGACACUGACUAUCAUCGAUCAACUGGCUAGCCAACUAGAGGCAUGCUAGGGACUGUGUUUUGUCUAUGUAUCCACACAUGUAAAUGAGUCUUCAUUCAAUACAAUUAUAGCAUGGACAAUAAACUAUUAUCUUGAUACAGGAAUUAUAAUAAUAACUAUAUAUUUAUUAUUGCCUCUAGGGCAUAAUUCCAACAGUCUCCCACUUGCACUAGAGUCAACAAUUUAGCCCUCCCAUCACCAUGUGAAUUACAUUGUAAUAAAUCUAACACCCAUACAGUUCUGGUGUCGAUCAUGUUUUGGCCGUGGAAGAGGUUUAGUCAGCGGGUCUGCUACAUUCAGAUCCGUGUGCACUUUGCAUAUAUUUAUGUCCUCUUCCUCGACGUAGUCGCGGAUGAGGUUGAAGCGUCGUUUGAUGUGUCUGGUCUUCUUGUGAAACNNNNNNNNNNNNNNNNNNNNNNNNNNNNNNNNNNNNNNNNNNNNNNNNNNNNNNNNNNNNNNNNNNNNNNNNNNNNNNNNNNNNNNNNNNNNNNNNNNNNACGGCUAGACGUCUGGCCGUCGGCAUAGAUACACAAAGCCACGUCAUCGAUCCGGGGCGCACCGAUCAGCAUCUAUACCGACGGCUGCCGUCGGCAUAUCUGCCACGUCAUCGAUCCGCAGCGCGUCGACCACCGGCCCUGGCCGUAUCUAUGCCGAUGGCUUUGCCGUAGGCAUAGUUUUUUUUUCUUUUCUUUGCACAAUGUGUGUAUAUAUGGGGGGGGGGCUUACAUGUACCAUGUGUAAAUAUACAUGUAUUAUUAUUUUUAUGAAUAUAUAUGUACUUUGUACUUUUUUCGAAUACGUUAAUGAUGUGUCGUCAUUUUCUUUGAAUAUAGGUCCUUAUAUUUUAUUAAAAUCAAAAACAGCUCUGCCUACAGAAAUAUUGUGGUGGUUGCAAACGCCCUACACGCGUCUCCGGGAUGUGACCCCCCUCACGUCCGGGGUGUGCCCCCCUCACGGAAAGUCAAAGGCUAGAUCUCGUGUUCAAUCGUUACACGGUUAGGCGGGACGGGGGCCCUGGGGUAGCAGUGUGACCAGAGCGUCGCACCGGGCCCUCAUACAUGUCGUACGGGGCUAAGGUAAGUCCGAUCGGGUGGCUGUCGGGGGUAGCUAUGACAUGGAAACAUUGCAUCGGGUCCUCGUGCAUGUGUGAAAGUGAUCUGACAUGCGUAGACGCCCGUCGUGACGCUCCCGUGUGUGUCCCCCUUCAUGUACGACAAUGUCGUCGCCACUUUAAGGGGAGAAAUAGUCGUGUCGGGUCGACAUGGAGGGAACCUAGUGAUGGCUUGGACUCAGACAAUGUUCUUACAUGUUUCUAUGGGUUGACCUAUCGAAACGAGGUGGAAGAUUCCACUGGUCAAAGCCUGUCCGACGCAAGUCAAAGGCCUAAAUCUACGGGUCAACGGGGCUAGAGUUAGUCAGAUCGGGUGGCUGUCGGGGGGUAGCUAUGCCACCGAAACAUCGCAUCGGGUCCUCAUGCAUGUGUGAAAGUGAUGUGACAUGCAUAGACGCCCAUCGCGGCGCUCCCGUGUGUGUCCCCCCUUCAUGUACGACAAUGUCGCCGUCACUUUGAGGGGGGAAAUAUCCGCGUCGGGUCGACAUGAAGGGAACCUAGUGAUGGGUUGGACUGAGACCAUGUUCUUACAAGUUCAUAUGGGCUGACCUAUCAAAACGAGGUGGAAGAGUCCAGUGGUCAAAGCCCGUCCAACACAAGUCAAAGGCCUAGAUCUACGGGUCAACGGGGCUAGGGUUAGUGCAAUCAGAUGGCUGUCGGGGAUAGCUAUGCCAUUGAAACAUCACUCGGGUCCUCAUGCAUGUGUGAAAGUGAUGUGACAUGCGUAGACGCCCGUCGCGGCUCUCCGGGGUGUGCCCCCUUCAUGUACGGCAAUGCCGUCGUCACUUUGAGGGGAGAAAUAGCUGUGUCGGGUCGACAUGGAGGUAACCUAGUGAUGGGUUGGACCCAAACCAUGUUGUUACAUGUUUCUAUGGGCUAAUCUAUUAAAAUGAGGUGGAAGAGUUCACUGGUCAAAGCCCGUCCGACGCAAGUCAAAGGCAUAGAUCUACGGGUCAACGAGGCUAGGNNNNNNNNNNNNNNNNNNNNNNNNNNNNNNNNNNNNNNNNNNNNNNNNNNNNNNNNNNNNNNNNNNNNNNNNNNNNNNNNNNNNNNNNNNNNNNNNNNNNUGUGCUGAACGCGGAGGUGCCGUCCGUUCGGUACUAGAUCGUGGGACUGAUCGCGGGAUUGUUCGCGGGGCGAAUCGAGGGACGUGAGGACGUUCCACUACAUCAACCGCGUUCACUAACUCUUCUGCUGUACGAUCUACAAGGGUACGUAGAUCACUCAUCCCCUCUCGUAGAUGGACAUCACCAUGAUAGGUCUUCGUGCGCGUAGGAAAAUUUUUGUUUCCCAUGCGAAGUUUUCCAACAGUGGCAUCAUGAGCUAGGUUCAUGCGUAGAUGUCUUCUCGAGUAGAACACAAAAGUUUUUGUGGGCGGUGAUGUGCGUUUUGCUUCCCUCCUUAGUCUUUUCUUGAUUCCGCGGUAUUGUUGGAUUGAAGCGGCUUGGACCGACAUUACUCGUACGCUUACGAGAGACUGGUUUCAUCGUUACGAGUAACCCCGUUGCUCAAAGAUGACUGGCAAGUGUCGGUUUCUCCAACUUUAGUUGAAUCGGUUUUGACCGAGGAGGUCCUUGGAUGAGGUUAAAUAGCAACUCAUAUAUCUCCGUUGUGGUGUUUGCAUAAGUAAGAUGCGAUCCUACUAGAUACCCAUGGCCACCGCGUAAAACAUGCAACAACAAAAUUAGAGGACGUCUAACUUGUUUUUGCAGGGUAUGCUUGUUAUGUGAUAUGGCCAAUGAUGUGAUGUGAUAUAUUGGAUGUAUGAGAUGAUCAUGUUGUAAUAGAAAUAUCGACUUGCACGUCGAUGGUACGGCAACCGGCAGGAGCCAUAGGGUUGUCUUUAUACUAACGUGUGUGCUUGCAGAUGCGUUUACUAUUUUGCUAGGAUGUAGCUUUAGUAGUAAUAGCAUGAGUAGCACGACAACCCCGAUGGCAACACGUUGAUGGAGAUCAUGGUGUGGCGCCGGUGACAAGAAGAUCGUGCCGGUGCUUUGGCGAUGGAGAUCAAGAAGCACGUGAUGAUGGCCAUAUCAUGUCACUUAUGAAUUGCAUGUGAUGUUAAUCCUUUUAUGCACCUUAUUUUGCUUAGAACGAUGGUAGCAUUAUGAGGUGAUCUCUCACUAAAAUUUCAAGACGAAAUUGUGUUCUCCCCGACUGUGCACCGUUGCUACAGUUCGUCGUUUCGAGACACCACGUGAUGAUCGGGUGUGAUAGACUCAACGUUCACAUACAACGGGUGCAAAACAGUUGCGCACGCGGAACACUCGGGUUAAGCUUGACGAGCCUAGCAUGUGCAGACAUGGCCUCGGAACACAUGAGACCAAAAGGUCGAUCAUGAAUCAUAUAGAUGAUAUGAUUAGCAUAGGGAUGCUUACCACUGAAACUAUACUCAACUCACGUGAUGAUCGGACUUGAGCUAGUGUAAGUGGAUCAUGAACCACUCAAAUGACUAGAGAGAUGUACUUUUUGAGUGGGAGUUUAGCGAAUAAUUUGAUUAAGUUAAACUCUAAUUAUCUUGAACAUAGUCUAAGUCCACUUUGAAUAUAUUUGUGUUGUAGAUCAUGGCUCACGCGACAGUCAUCCUGAAUUUUAAUACGUUCCUAGAGAAAGCUAAGUUGAAAGAUGAUGGAAGCAACUUUGUAGACUGGGCUCGUAAUCUUAAGCUAAUCUUACAAGCUGGGAAGAAGGAUUAUGUCCUUAAUGCUGCGUUAGGAGAUGAACCACCCGCUACGGCUGAUCAGGAUGUUAAGAACGCUUGGUUAGCACAUAAGGAGGACUACUCAAUAGUUCAAUGUGCAGUCUUGUAUGGCUUAGAACCGGGACUUCAACGUCGCUUUGAGCGUCAUGGAGCAUUUGAGAUGUUCCAGGAGUUGAAGUUUAUCUUUCAGAAGAACGCCCGGAUCGAGAGGUAUGAGACCUCCGAUAAAUUCUAUGCUUGCAAGAUNNNNNNNNNNNNNNNNNNNNNNNNNNNNNNNNNNNNNNNNNNNNNNNNNNNNNNNNNNNNNNNNNNNNNNNNNNNNNNNNNNNNNNNNNNNNNNNNNNNNUUAGGUAUUACUUUAUCCGCUACGUCUAAAACGUUUUGUAGAAAGUCUUUAACGAAGAAAUUGUUUCUACUACUCUGAAAAUUUAACAGCAUCUCCAUAACUUCAAUGCUUUUUUGCAGAUCAUAGUACUUGUUCUCUAUUGACCUUGAGAAUUCGAAAUUAGCUUUAAUAUUAGAAUGAUAUUCUAUAAACUGUUUCGUAUUCCAAGUUCUCAUAGCGACCAUAGUAGUGUCGACUGCUAUUAAAUAAUCAGGGUCGUUUUCUCUUUUAUACCAGUAACGCGACUGUAAAUAAGACUCGGUUUUACACGCAUCAGCCAUUGGACAAGUCCCUAAGUCGAGGAUUGUUUGUUGUAAUCCGCGGAGUAGUUUCUCUCUUUUCGAGAUGGAUCCUGCAUCACUGUUUCGUACAGUCUGUUCAUCAUUUUGUUCGCUACUAUAAAUUCCCCGUCCGUUUGAUUGACUUGCAUUUUCAAGGUUCUCUUCGGGAUUUGACGCCAACGAUCCGGCCCGAAUUCUCGGGUAGCUGGAGUAGAGAGAAGCCGCACCUCCAAAGUGAAGUCUUUUGGUUCCAUAUCGAUCGCGACAGAUGAGCAUUUCCCGUGGUGGCUAAUAAGUAAAAAAUGCAUUUUAUUUGUCUUUCCUUUUAACACUAGGUUAAAUGGAGGACACUACUUAAAAUACAAUUAAUACUUACGUCUGCGAGAUAACUAAGGAUGAAGUAGAUGUAUAUUUUGGAGCACUGCUCGGCAGGUCGCAUAGUAGUUGUUCCAUGGGAUCGCUUUUUGAACUUGAGGUUGAAAGCGCCGAGGCAAGCAACGGCUGCGCAGCGGCAGUAGGACUGAUGGAAGUUGCAGUCGUGUAUGAAGUGACAGUGUCCUCUCCCUCCAUCGGUUGGGGCUUGGUCUUCAGGGGGGAAACUAAUGAUGAUAACGCCGUUGUCGCAUUUUCGUUCGCCCACUCGUUUAGCCAGUUCUUUAGCCAUACCACGGUUGAUCGAGGGUAUAAUGUCGUGGAAAAGGAUUCUUUUGAAUGAGCAAGCAGAUAGUUCUUCAGCGUAUCGGGCGUAAUCGUCAGGCCACGACUCGAGCCACUCUGUCCACGCGUUUCUUUGUACGCCUGUUCUAUCAACGUAAUCAUAUUGUUGCAAAUUGAAGCUUGAUUCUUGGAAGUUUGAUAUGUCUCCAACACAUCGGUCAAUUGAUCCAUCAUUUCGUUGCAGUGAUCUUUUGUCCACUCCGGCAUAACAUCUUUGUCGUUUAUUAGGUCGUUCAGCGUCCAACUUAGAUGAUACGUGUUGUAGUUCUUUUUGAUCGUUUGUUGCACCUUCGCCUUUUUCUGGGGAGGGGCUAAUUCUUCUACGUCGCAUUCUACGUCUGACAUCUUAGAUUAAGGUAACGAAGUAGUAAAGUUUGUUCACACGUCUAAAAUGAAAAUACAGUUCUUUAGCGGACAUGCUAGUUUCAUCAUCAAUCUCUUUACAAAGUUGGACUAUAUAUCUAAACUUGUUAGCGUAAAAGACGGCGUUAGCGUUAAAGUUGUAUUGUUUAUUAUCGGCUAACACUCGGUAUCUAGUAACACUGACUGCGCAUAACGUAGCAAAAAAAUUGAGAGCCAACUUAUAAAGAUGGAUGCUAUGCCAAACAAACCCUCCGUAGUAGUACGAUUUAUAUUGACAUAUUUGAUUUUCUUUAUGAACUACACCGAAAGGACAGUGAUGCGUUAAAUUACCCGUAUAUAAAUCAGCUACGUGAGGAACUUGAACGUGUUUAGUUACCACGUGGUCGUCUCUAUGCGUGGUAAAAGUAUGAGUUCUACCGAAAAUAAUAUUCUUAGUUUGCCACAUAAUUAAGAUAUCUUCUGAAGUAAACUUUGGCAAAUCAAAUUUAUCUACCGUUCCUUGCCAUCUCAAAAUAGCCGACAUAUACAUUAGAUUGGGUUCUAUAUCGGGUAUGCUAUAAGCGUAUAUAUAAGAAGUACUUGUAGACCAAUGAGGUAAACAAGCGUUAGUUAUAGGAUAAUUAGUUAUCCUAGGUUCGAAAUUGCUAUAUCUAAAAAAGUCUACGAUACCGAACUCUCUAACGUUAAUUAAAGCUCUUCUAAUAACUUUCUCCAUUAAUUCUAAAUCAAUCGGUAAUUCUAACGUAGUUGAAAAUAUACUAUAUAGACUUUGCAAUAUAUCUUCCAAGUCGUUAGCAUCAUUAAACUUAUCUACAAUAUCCAACAUUUCACCUAUUCCAUAAUACUCGCUAUGAGUACUGGUAAAGACAUCGUCUACUUCCAAAGGUUCAUAAGACAUGCUUACCAAAUUUCGUCGACUCUCAUAAGAUGAUGCACGUUAGCGAAUGAUUCUCUGAGAUCGUCGGGAGUCCCUUUAUACCAAACCGUAUCUACAGAUCGAGUAGGUUGCCCAGUGAAAACCGGUUCUAAUCNNNNNNNNNNNNNNNNNNNNNNNNNNNNNNNNNNNNNNNNNNNNNNNNNNNNNNNNNNNNNNNNNNNNNNNNNNNNNNNNNNNNNNNNNNNNNNNNNNNNUGGCAAGAAGCCCCGAGUACUGGGAAAACGCAGAGGAGUUUAUACCGGAGAGGUUCGAGGACGGCACGGCUACCUACAAGGGCUCGCGGUUCGAGUACUUGCCGUUCGGCACUGGAAGGAGGAAGUGCCCCGGCGAUACCUUUGGGCUGGCCACACUGGAGCUCGCGGUGACACGGCUCCUCUACUAUUUCGAUUGGAGCCUCCCUGCCGGAACACGGGUAGAUGAGCUCGACAUGGAAACAAGCGUGGGGAUAGCCACGAGGAGGAAGAACCAGCUGCACCUAGUGGCGACCCCUUAUAAGUGUGCUUGCUAGGCAAAUACUAUCUAUGUGCUCUCUUAUGUUCUUUUCCGUACACAAAAAAAAAUCACCGUGGAGUUUUUUUUCCCGAGAAAUAAUCACUGUCGAGUGUAUUUGUAAAUUAAGUUCAUAACCUCUUUAUGCGUGCACAUGGACGGGUGAAUAGCUCAUGUGUGAAGUUUUUGAUGCGAAUUGGAAAGAAUGAAACGUAGUUGCGAUGAUUUACAUGGCAAUAAUAGCCCCUAUACAAUGGGAAUGGUCAUCAACGGGGAACGCAGUUAAGUUAAAAACAGGGAGUCAAACUGAUAAGUGCAUCUGGUGGCGGUCCUCACUUGACAGUGCAUCGAGGUUAACGAUUUCCCGCCCGACUAGACCCGUGCUACUCCCCUGUUUCUGGUUGCUGCUCCCGUCUUCAUUCUCGUCGGCGGCGGCGACGGCGGCAGAGCUUACGUUCACGGUCUCGACGGCGUAUGUGGAAAGUGUAUUCGGCAUUCUAGAGUUGUUCCCCUAAGUCUUGAGUUAGAUCUAACCAAGUGAGCCUUUGUUUUCCACGGGAUCCAGAUUGUGGAGGCGGGUGGGGUGGGGGAGCGGUUGCGGCGUUGGGCUGAACGAGAUGGAGCCGCGAGAGACAACACCGACUAGGUAAUGAUCACCCUUUCUAACCUAUGCGAUGUGUGCCUAGUCUACUUCUGCUGCCUCACGGUGUCCGCCAUUGAUACACAUGGGCGAUGGUGCUCAGGUCUUCGAAUUCACUAUUGAAUUCUUUCCGUCUAAAGUGAAGCUAGUUGAUGGUAGUGUGCGAGACACACAGAGAGAUACAAUUGUGAAAUGAGAGGUUGAAUUUGCAGAAAUUGACCCAUAGAAAAUACAGAGAUGGAAGAGAGGGGCGUGAGGAAAUUUGAGGAGAAAGUUGGGGAGAGCAUUUUUUGGGUCCAGGGUAAGAGGUAUAAUUGUUACUGUUUGAUAANNNNNNNNNNNNNNNNNNNNNNNNNNNNNNNNNNNNNNNNNNNNNNNNNNNNNNNNNNNNNNNNNNNNNNNNNNNNNNNNNNNNNNNNNNNNNNNNNNNNAUUAGUUCAUUGAGUUUAGGAAAGGAUGCCAGUUUGGAACAGUUGGUGGAGCAUGGUGAAACGCGCUCAUUUGGAGUGGCUGAAACAGAAACGUACUCGAGAGCUACUCGUCUUCCUAAAAGCUCUAGCAAUGCAAGACCUGUCCUAAUGCAAUAAAUACCGGUGCUCUCGAACUCAAUCAGCACAGGUACAGGGCCAGGUGCUUCUCCAGCUCUUGGUACCGUCUCUUGUGCCCCACCUGUAUAGCUAGGGUUAAGUAACCCAUUCAGGAGAAGAUAAGAGAAACACCAUCUGGUAAGGUUGGAUCUAUAAAACAACGUUGGUUGACAGAGCUAUCUUGACAUUAUAGGUGGGGUCUUUGGAUAGCAGGUAUGCUGUGUCAGAGAGCAUUGGUGAGAUUAUCCAUCUUAUAACCCCCGUUAGACCGACAGAUGAUAGAUUCCCUUCCAAGCCAUUGAAACCUCGCUUUUCUUAUCUAAAUACAGGUGUUAGAAUACGUUUUUUGAUUGAAUAGGUUCUAUCUGCUUCCAAUCAUUAUCCAUGUGCUUGUGAAUUUAUUAGAAUCCAUUUCAGUAGGACAACAGGGCUCUCGCCUAGCUGAUUCUAAAGUGGAAGCAAUUCAGGUAUCAGCACAUACAGGUACUAAUUCACAUUUCUGUCGCUACCCCGUGGUAUUGGAGCUUGUAGUGAUAAGGAUUUUUAUAAUAGAUAGUUUGUUUUAUCCUUGAAGUAAGAGCACUGAGAAUAGCUUAGCUUUCCAGUCGAAAGAAAGCAUAGAGAACCAUCAAACAAAUACUGGAUGGAGAAUGCACUCUUCGUUGCCCAAAGGAAAGGGUGCAGGUCCAGUAAAUAUCGCCUUUAAAGGGCUAUGUCUAUAGACAGUUCUAACAGAGAACAUAGUAAGCGGAAGGAAUUAGUGCCUUGAUCGCCCUCUUGCUUUUUGUCAAUGGAUCAUGAACAUUUUCUAUUUGUUUUAUUGAUUCAUGCGAAAUGAAAUAUGAAUAUUCGAGUGCUUAGGUAGUAGUUGGCGCGUACUAUAGAUACGCGAAAGAGUACCUGUAUCCUUGCAGGAUUUGGUCCGAAGGUUUGAGUCAGUACGGUGAAGCAUUGAAGGAAUCGAAUGGAAAAAGAGCUUAAAAUAAGGGAUUUUUUAAGCUCUGUAAGUACUAACUAGAUGCGCAGGGCAUCAGAGGCUUACUCAAAUGGAACAUACGAAUCGAACCUUGCUUGACUCUCUUUUUCAUACUUGCCCUCGGGAUCAGUGGUAGAUUCAUAACGUUAUUACUCAUGGGUAGCAGAUGAUGGAUCCAUUUCUGUUGAAGCAGUGGAGUGAAGAGGAGGGUUGGGUCCUGCCUCACAACGAGCCCGGGUAGAUAGAUAGGUAGAUAGUAGAUAGCAGUCCGGAUAGUGAUAAAAUCUGAAAUAAUCUUCUUCUUGAUUGAAAGAAAGCCUGUGCCGGAAAUAGAGAGAGUUCUGCUCUUGGUUGACAUAGAUCGCUCUACUCUCGAAUUGACAUACAUAGAGUUGAAAACACACUCCUCACAAAUGAUCAUAGUUCACUACUAAUGAGCGAGUAACUACUAACGUUACGAGCAAAAAGACGAAUCUACUUGGUUCAUAUCAUAUGUUCCGCUCCGUUGACAGGUUCAUAUAUGUACCUGAUGUUCAUGGAAACAACAGGAUGAUAAUCCGUUGAUGGGAAACUCACUUUGCUAUGCUAGGAAACUGACUAAUGAAACUAACAAGUUCAAGUGCUCUAGUCAAGUAGUAAGCUCCAGUGGGAAGCGCUAGUCCAGAUAGAAAGAAUAGACAGGAGGAUUGCCAGGUUGGUCCGCACAGGUGCAUAUCUGUAGGUUUCAGCACGGGAUUCCAGAUCGUUGGUACCCGAUGUUCAGUUCAUGGGAAUGGGAAUGUAGGAAACUCUCUCUUCCGUCCGGAACAUAUAGAUAGAUUGAUUGCUGUAGCAGCAAGUCAACUAGAUCCAGUGAGGAAUGAGAACCUUUCCGGGGGCAAGGGGGGGGGCGAAGAUACUAGCUACUAUUACUAUUGGCUAUGGAUGUCCUAACACGAACGAAGUCUAUACGAGCAGAGGAAAGCGAAGCGUAUUGGUUGGUUCGGAUUUCAGAGUGCACUGGUUCUAUUCUAACUAGACUCGCAUCAUAAGUUUGCCUGCUUUCAAAUCCCGCGAAAGUACUACUGGCAGCUCCUAUAUGAGGUUGAUGCCACAAAGAUUAUCAUAUCUACAUGAAAGGAAAAUUCAUGGAAAGGAAAAUGAACGUGAUGCACACUAGAAAAGAUACCAAGCAAGAGGAUGUGCGCAACGUCGCGCUCGAAAGUCUUGUCUAUGAAAUCAAACCCUAGUUCCGUGAGGAGGAAGACUCUCUUCGGUCGAGGGAUGGAUGGACUAGUGCCGUAAGGAUGAGUGAUGCUAGAGGGAAGUAGAUCAAUAGGUGCCGCUUGCUUACUACAGUGACAAGGAAAUCAAACAAAGUAGUGGCCAGGCCAGUCUCAAGAAUGGGUGAGUCAAGUAAACUUGCCAGUAUGCCGGGAAGCCGGUAAUGCGAGGGUAUCUCCAGUCGAAAAGGAUGCCGGAUCCAACUAAUACGGCUAUGCUUGAGGAAGAAGAGUGCUCCUACUCCUACUUCAGCUUCUAAGAAUAGGCCCGGUGCUAACUCCACCUUCCGGACUGCCCUUCAUCGGCACGAAAGUAAGAUUGGACAUGAUAGACGGAAGCAGAAUCGAGGCAGUAUCAGUUUCCUGGUUUCGAGGAAGGAAAUGUCCGCGGGGCUCUCUUAUCUUCUUAAAGGAUGAGUGUGUAUACAACCAACCUAUAAUACGUAUUUUCGAGGUUCCUAUGCUAUGGUAUCCAGGUUCCCGCCAGGGAAGGGGAGGUUCCUAUGCUAUGGUAUCCAGGUUCCCGUGAGGGAAGGGAUAGGGUGCCGUGUUUUCCACAGAACAGUCUGGUGGAAUCCAGUGGUAUAUAGAAGCUCUGUGCCCUUCUCUUUCUCCUGCAGCAAUAUGAACUCAAAGGGAUCCUUUCCUACCCGGGACAACUUCAUAGCUCCUACCUUUACUCUUGAUUUGCGCAAGAGUGCUCGUCAGUGAUCUCCAUUCACAAAAGUGGAAAGGAAUGUUCCAUUGCCACGAACAAUAUGGGCUUUCUCAUGGAUUCCCCUUUUUCUUCUACACAUUGUACUAAUAUAAUUGGAUUGGGAAUUCGCAGGAAUGGGUAUUGAGAGGAGGAUCACCAUGGCCAAAACAUCUCUUGUCAGCGACAAACUCUAUGAUUUGCCAAUUCCAAUCGAUUUGCAUAUCAGCAAGCAGGGAUGAGCACAUCUGGAAACCUUGACUUCCUCUGGAUGCGGACCAAUAUAUGCACCGAACUCAGGUCGUGCUUCCAAAAUGUUCAAAAAAUUCUGAAUUUUUUUAACACACUGACACAACCAACAUAGGACGUCACAAAAUUGAAAAACGUAACUCGAAAAACAAAAAUGACAAACUCAACACUGAAUAGUACAUAACAUAACUUGGGCUUUAGAUUUGGCUCAUUAUCACACCGAUGUCAUAUUUUUCAUUUUUACAUCUCAAAAAAUAUUUUGAAUUUUUAUAUGAAAUUCUAUGACAUCAUACAUCGAUGUUGCAUUAACAUGCUAGUUUUUUUAUAGAUUUUUUUAAAAACUUUUUGUGGCAUCCGGUGGGUUCUGCGAGGUGGCUGAUGCGGGAACAGGCCCUGAAGCGAGUCCGCCCAAGUGCUCGGUCGUUUUCUGGCAGGACAGCUCGGUGGCAAUUUGGAAGUAAUUAGGGUACAUUUAUAUUUUCAAACGUUUUCUUUGGAGGGACUAGCCGGAAUCUAAGAUUCUAGGAGAAACCAGGUAUUUUUAUAGAUUCUGAAUUGCACUAGGAUUUUACAGAAUUCGGUCAAGAUUUAAAAAGUUCAAUCCAGUUCUUUUGAUUCCAGAUUUUCGGGGACCGUAUUCUUUAAAAUCUGCUCAAAAGAACUGGCCAUAUUCCAGAUUUUAUGACAUCAUACAUCGAUGUUGCGUUAACAUGCUAGUUUUUUUUAUAGAUUUUUUAAAAACAUUUUAUGUCAUCCGAUGCAUUGGUAGCACCAGAAGUGCGAGCCAGUUCUUUUCACCUGGGAUUCUACAGAAUCAAGAUUAUGGAAAAUUCUCCCAGAAUCUGCUUCUCUCAGAACCAGUCGGCGAGUUCUUUUUGAAGGUUGUAGUUUGAGAUUCUGGAAGUGUUGUGUGUUGAAAUGUCUAUACUACCCUUAGACCAAAGUUGUCUGAUGAAUUGUUAACACUUUAACGUCAACAUCAGCAAGCAUCUAACAAAUUCAAGCAUUAAUCCAUUUAUCUAUCUAUUUGAAACUACUCCCUCCGUCCAUAAAUAAGUGUACAUGUAGAUUAGUACUUAGUCAAACUUUUUAAAAUUUGAUCAACUUUAUAGAAAAUAGUAGCAACAUAUAUGGCAUGAAAAUGAUAUAUUUAGAAACCUCAUGUAAAGACAAAUCUAUUGAUACUAAUUUGAUGUCAUAAAUGUUAGCACUUUUUCAAUAAAGUUAUCAAAGUUUAACAAGUUUGACAGACAAAAAAAAAAUACACUUAUUACCGGACGGAGGGAGUACAUCAUCAUCAAGCAUUUAACAAGUUAAAGCAUUACAGAAUGAAGAACAGAUAAAUGGAAAAAGAGUGGCUCACCAUGAGCGUUGAGGUGCAACGACGGGAGGCCGUCGAGGUGCGCUGGGCGGACAGCGGGGCGGGGCGAAGGCAGCGAAGGAAACCUGGCAGGAGAGGGCAGCGACGACUGGAGCCGCGGGGGGAACCUGGACGACGCCGGGUGCGACGACUUGGCCGAGGACAGCAAGGUGGGUUCGACGGGGGAGAGGUGGGUUCCGCGAGGUGGCCGAUGCGGGAACAGGGCCUGAAGUGAGUCCGCCCGGGUGCUCGGUCGUUUUCUGGCAGGACAGUUCAGUGGCAAUUUGAAGUAAUUAGAAUACAUUUAUAUUUUCAAACGGUUUUUUUUGAAGGGACUAGCCAGAAUCUAAGAUUCCAUGAUUUAAAAAGGUCAAUCCAGUUCUUUUGGAUCAGGGUUUUGGGGGCCGUAUUCUUUAAAAUCUGCUCAAAAGAACUGGCCCAUACUCCCCCGGGCGUCCCUAGUCGACCACCUGCAUUUCCAAAAAAGAAAAAAAAAGAUGCUCGUACCAGAGCAUACUGCGAUCUCCACGAAACCCGUCCGGAUGUCGUCGUCGUAGCGAGGCGUCGGCAAACGGGACGUGGCGCGCGCGCAUCGCCGCCCCCACCCCACACGGGAUCCACCACCAUCCGUCCGUCCGUCCGUCCAUCCGCCUUUCAGACACAAAACAGAACGAAACCAUCCCGAUCGGUCGACCGAUCCAUCCAUCCACACCCUCCGUCCCUCUCCCACCCCACACCACUCCUCUCCUCGGGCAGCCCAGUCGUCGUCGUCGCGACCGAGGACCAGAGACGCGGGCGGGGAGCUCGAGGCGGAGGGACACCAUCAGCAUCAUCGGCAUCGGCGCCGGGUCAGGGGCCAGCAGCGAUGGGCUUCGUCUCCUUCGUCGGGAGGGUGCUGUUCGCGUCCGUCUUCCUCCUCUCCGCCUACCAAGAGUACGUCCACACCCGCACGUCCCUUCCCCCCGUCUCCCCCCCGCCAGAUCUCGUCUCCGGCCGCCUCCCGGGGACCGACGCGCCGCCCGCGUGCGGCCCCUGGCUCCUGCUUGUCGGUGCGACGNNNNNNNNNNNNNNNNNNNNNNNNNNNNNNNNNNNNNNNNNNNNNNNNNNNNNNNNNNNNNNNNNNNNNNNNNNNNNNNNNNNNNNNNNNNNNNNNNNNNNNNNNNNNNNNGACCCGCCGCGGCGAUUCGUAGAGGCAGAUACGCGCACGGGGAGCGCGUGAGGAGGGGUUUCGGAUCAGGCCAGCGGUCCAUUCCAUGCGGAUAGCGUAGCGGCUCGAAGCGCGCGGCUCCUUUGAGUCUGUGAGUGACGAACCCCAUCCGGUCCAGAUGCUUCCUCAGUCCAGCGUCUCCUCUUCCAGAACGCGCACUUUACCCGCCGCUCCUUCAUACUACGAGCUAGCUAGCUUCACUCCGCUGGCAGCUUUGGUUCGAUACCAAGGGCUACGAUGCAUUUGUAUGUCAAAUUUUCCAUGGUAGUACAACAAGUGUUGCGUUGCUCCUUGUGUUAGCCGAGUUAUUUCACCGAUGGCGCAUAGCUAGGUAGCCAUAGCUUCACCCUGCUGGGCCUUUUUAGGCCUUGUGCCGUUGCUUCUCAUUUAACCUCAUUUUACUGGUACCAGCAGAAUUGUUUCCAUAUCAAGGGCCAUGUCAUUGUUUGGAUUUCAUUUUUUAUCUGGUAGUAGUCGUAGUAGUACAGGAAGUGCUGUGUUGGUUCUUAUGCUAGUCCCGUUAUGCUUCUUAUUAGUUGGCUGCACAGGUCAAGUACCGCUCUCUAAUUUCCGAAUAUCUCCAUGCUUCCAAUGUACACCAUGCAGGUUCAGUGAAUUUGGGACCGAUGGAGGCCCAGCAGCAAAGUCUCUGAAGCCAAAGUUCAACCUCUUUGUGAAGCAGGCGUCUGCCAGCGUUGGGAUGGCUGUGCCACACAUUGAUGUAUGGAUAUUUUCUGGUUGCCUGCCCCGUUAUACAUCAUUGUUUUUGUUUUAAGGAUCCGUUCAACUAGUUCCUAGUUUGAUGUUUUUUUUUCCUGUUUACAGAUCAAGACUGUCAUCGCUUUGACAAUGUUUUUUAAAGCAUUUGGUGGUCUCCUUUUCCUCAUCAGUAGCUCCCUUGGAGCGGUCGUACUGGUGCGUACUCUUCUUCUGCAGGCACUAUAUCAAGAAUCAUCUUAUCGUAAGGGGGUAUCAAGAUGCAUACUGUUGCGUCUGCCAUUAAAUGUAGACUUGCAGCACCCUGUCUUUUCAAAUCAAACUAAUAAAAAGGAAGUACUGUUGGCAUGCCAUUUAGGUAGUUUUAAACGUUCUAGUGUGUCCAUUUCACUGGCUGUACAAUGCCAAAUCUGGCAUUGUUGCUGCUUCGAUGUUUGAUCUUCAUACAUUUUGCUUCUGCAAUAUCCUGUUGUAGCAUCUUGACAGUGGAAUGCUUUAACACUAACCUUCCUGAAAGAUUCCAGAUGUGGUGUCAGGUUAUUCUUAUUGUUUAACCACUUGAUAGGCUCAUGUCUGUUGAAUUUGUACAGCUGAUUUUCUGUAGCCAAAGUUAUGUGUUUAUGUUUAUAUUUAUUGUUUGCAUUGUUAUCUAUAUGUGACAGUGCAACAGUUCUUUGAGACAUUAAUCCAUGAUAACUGGGCAUAUCUGUUCAUAUGCUUAUAUAUAAAGAAACCAAAUAUAUAUUCUGUCUUCUUAUACGGAACCAAAUAUAUUUAAUCCAUGUUAAAAUGAUUGUGCAUUUAUUAUGUUAUAGUUUUGAGACAUUAAUCCAUGAUAACUGGGCAUAUCUGUUCAUAUGCUUAUAUAUAAAGAAACCAAAUAUAUAUUCUGUCUUCUUAUACGGAACAAAAUAUAUUUAAUCCAUGUUAAAAUGAUUGUGCAUUUAUUAUGUUAUAGUUUUGCCGUUGCUCUUUCUCCCCCUGUUACUUUUCUUUACUUCUUUUUUGGAACAUGGAAAUACUGAUGUAGCUCACUUGUGCAGCUUGUUUACUUGGCAUUCAUAACACCUGUCGUGUACGACUUCUACAACUACGAGGUCGAGUCACAGCAAUUCGUUAAGCUCUUCACCAUGUUUUCACAGGUUUGUCACACAGAAUCUCACUUGGCGAGAAGCUUCAGCUUUGAACCAUUCCAUCACUAUCUGUCACCAGAUGUUCUAACUCGGAUUCCCCCCCCUCUCUCUCUGCUCAGAACCUCGCUCUCUUCGGCGCGCUGCUCUUCUUCCUGGGAAUGAAGAACUCCAUCCCAAGGAGGCACUCCAAGAGAAGGGCCGCAAAGGCCAAGACAACCUGAAGCCAGGCAAGGGAUCGUGGUAGGAGGGAGGGGAAACUAUCAGUAUGGAAACUCGUCGUGUUUUACGUAUACUUUUGGAGCAGUACAUGUCCCGCUUUUUGCCCAUAGAAUCUGUGAGCUGGGGGCCUGCAGGAUUCGAUAUGUAGGAGUUUUAAGCCGUCUUGCUCAGUUCUGUUUUUCGGUUUUAUCGCGGUGGGUUCUAUGCCUUGGUUCUGUAGUCCUGUGUUUUGCUACAGAAAACUGCUUGUCUCCAUUCAGUAUCAGAGCAUACAUUCUUGACUGCUGUUUCGAGCCGUGCCCUUCUCGAUCCCUAAAUGCAGAGAUGUUUUUUUUAUUUGCGGGAAAAAAAAUGCACAGAUGUUGUGCGUUCUACUCCCUUCGUUCCUAAACAUAAGACCUUUUAAAGAUUGUACUAUAAACUACAUACGGAUGUAUAUAGACAUAUUUUAGAGUAUAGAUUCACUCAUUUUGCUCCGUAUGUAGUCUCCUAGUGAAAUCCCUAAAAUGCCUUAUAUUUUGGAAUGGAGGGAGUAAUAAUUUCUUAUUAUUAGUCAAGAUAAACUUGAUAAGUAGAUGCAUUCAUCAAGGCAAAUUUAGUGAUUUCUGUACGUGGUUGAUCCAUUCCACAGGAUUUUGGUUCGUGUUUGGAGUUUGGACCCAAAAUUUCAUGUGAAUGUUGAGGUAGAGAUAAGUGGUUAAACAAAUGGUAAGAUAAAUACUACUCCCUCCGUUUUUAAAUUUAAGUCUUUCAGAGGUUUCGGGGACUACAUGCAGAUGUAUAUAGACAUGCUUUAGAGUGUAGAUUCAUUUAUUUUGCUCCGUAUCUAGUUCUCUAGUAAAAUCUUUAAAAUGACUUAUAUUUAGAAACGGAGUGAGUAGUCGAUUACAUAAGCUGGGUUAUCAUAAUCUACCACAAUACCAACUCAGGCAAGGCCUGUGCAUGGCGUUAUUCCUCAUACAUAUAUACGGAGUAGUUCUAUGCAUAUGGCAUAACAAACUACUUAAAACUGUUUCCGGCCCAGAAGUAAACAGAGCAUCCAAAACGAAAGAGCAGCACACCAAGCACCCAACACAAUUGCUGCGGCGACUCGACUCGACUCCAAGAUGGCGACGUUCUACUUACAAACUACUCGAAUUUUACAAGGCCGGCACCGGCACAUGUUGUAUCCUGUGCUAUGAUGAUCCAAGCAAAUUCAAAUAGCCGAGAAAAUCGGGCCGAAUUUGGAUUCAAACCGAGCGUCCAACCCAACGCAAUUACAGGAGGAUAGCAAAGGGAAAACCACUUCCGAUAACCAGAUCCGUUGGAUGCCGAUCGGACGGCCGAGUCACCUCCUCCCUCCCCCCUAACCCGCGGCUGGGGAGCACAGCCAAGCCCCCGCUCCGCCGCGAAGAGCCGCCGCCUUCCACUCCGGCGCCCCCCUCCGGCGCGACCUCCAGCCUCCGACGACGACCAGAUGGUGAGCUCCCCUAGCCCCCCCCCNUCCCUCCUUCCCCCUCCGGGCCGCCCGAAUCCGGCGGGCUCGGUUCGCCCCGGGGAGUAAACCCCUGCCGAGAAACCCUAGCGAGUUGCUGCUCACGUUUGUGGUUCUGUGACUUCCGCAGGACUACCUCAAGACGGUGGUGCCGUCGCAGCUCUUGGCCGAGCGCGGCUCCAGCCUCGUCGUCAUCAACCCAGGUGCGCCCCGCCGGAGCGAAUCCCCCAAUCCCCCGCCUGUCCUCUAGAUACGCGCUUUCCUUCCCCUGUUUGUUCCGACGAUUCACGCCUGCUGGAGUCCAAACUGGGUGUAAAAAACAACGUGUUUAGUGUAGUUCGAGCUGAUUUCGCGAGGCUCAAGCCCCCGGCGAAGAUGCAUAGUGUGAAUCAGAAGGUCGAUCUUGUGCGAUGCUACCCGUUGAAAUUCUAGAAGUGAGAUGAAUAUGUGUGAAGCAGGAAUGUCGUCUUCUUAUAUGCCGGUAAUUUUUGCCUUGAGACAUGGUGGUUGUCACCUGACCGAGGACCCUUCCUUUUCGCAGGCUCCAUGAACGUGCGCAUGGGGUUCGCUAGUCAGGACGUGCCGUUCAAUAUACCGCACUGCAUUGCCCGGCACAAGAACGACGCGCCGAAGCUGUCGGUGCGAGACCAGGUGAUGCGAAUGCAGGGGUGGUCCCCCCCCCCCUCCCUCCCCCUCUGCUGGUCCUGUACCUGCAUUGGAACAUCGUUGGCGUAAUCUUCAGUGUAUGACUGUCGUUUUGGUUUGCAGAGGCUCAACUGCCGUGCUGGGUCGACGCACAAUGCAGAGCGGGAGCGGGCGUAUGGUAUUGUAAGAAUCUACUUCUCGCAAUUACUUUGGAUCAUGUGCGCGGCUCGAACUAAUCAGGACUGAGUCUUGCAGAUUGCUUCAAUGCUCAAAAUCCCAUUUUUGGGUGAAGUAUCGCCUUCAGAGAACCAACCAUUACCUCCUAAGGUACUGUGCACAGUCUAUGUGAUGAAUACUUUGCAUACCUGUUUUUGCGACAGUAGGAUAUAUUGCAUUUUGCCAUCCGGGUUAAUCUUUUUAUAUAUUAAUUGGGAAAAGUAUCACCCCAGAUGUAGGCUUUGUCUACUUGAAUUUGAAUAGCGAUGUCCAACUAGUUUAGAGUGUGGGCAAUUUAUUUAUCUUUUCUUACACAUCGAUUACUUAUCAAUAGUUAUUCUUAUGCUUCUCGGGGAGGUGUUUGCUCCAUCUUAUCUGGUUGCACACUGCUAUACUUGGGCAGUUAAAAGGAGAACUAGCUACUUAGAGCAAUUUACCAACAAAACAGUGGCCAUGUGCCACAUCUCACUAAAUUAGUUCUAUUUUUAGAAUGUGAAAAAUGUUUUGUCAGACCGUAAUUAGUUGAUCUGCAGUAUGCUGCACCAUGAUAAUAUUAUGAUAACGAUCCAGUUCACUACGGGACAUACAGCAAGUGGGAGGAAGGGAACUUUGGGACUUGUUUGCCCUAUAGUUUAAGCUUAUUUGAUAAGCUUGUGGCAUUGAGGCUUAUAAGCCGAGUUUACCUAGGAUUUAGGGCUUAAACUAUCAUGAAGUUUGUUGUCAUUAUAGUUUAUAAGUUCAACAUACUACAGUAUGUGGUAAACCUAGCUCAUCCAGCCUCUUCCAAAUUUAUAGAAUUAUGUUUGAAUUACCUAUUGCCUAAGUUUGGAAAUUGUUGCUAUUUCUUGCAAUCUUACAAAUCCUUAUUGAAACAAGUACGCCUGUUUGAUGUGUGCAAUAUAGACAAUGUUCAGGAUAUCGGUAACUGGUACCAUAUCGUCCAGGUGCUGCGUAAGGAUAAAUAGGCGAAUUUUCCAGUUAAUCAGCGAUAAAUCAGUUAAUCAGCUAUUCGGUGACCCACCGAGUAGCGAUAAACUGACCGAGAUGCUGAUUAACUGGCUGAUAUUUGGGAUAAUGAUGUAUUAUAUGAUUUUGCAUCAAUUUCCUUUUGUUUAGAAAGGUCAAAUCAUGGCCUCUGUUUGCUGAUGGGGUUAUAUUGACCACUUCAGAUGGGACGUCUUGAUGGUCUUUCUUCACAGCAAAACAAAGAUGAUAGUAUACUCACAUGGACAGAUGUGAUGGACAAAAGCAUCAAAACAUCCAUGUCAAUUGGUACUUUCUGAUCUUUUACUGAAGUGUACCUUCUUAUUUCCCCCCUUGUCCACUUUGGAGUCUUCUAUUGUUAAUAAAAAGGUUACAGGGUACUUAUGUUUUGGAUACAUUUUUUUUUUGUAGAAGGAAACUGUGUUUGUUUUUUGGUGUGACUUAUAUGUAGCACCUGCCCUCAGUGAGUUGUGGCCUGUGUCACUCAUAUGCAUUGUUGUGAUUGAUUUUGUACCACAUCAGAUUUCUCAUGCGUUUGGACUGCAUAUAUACAAAAAAGGAACGAUCUAGUAAAUCCACAUUAACCUAUUUCUGCGAAUCAUGGAUAAAAGCCUAAGUGAGUUGUUAUGUUUGUCUGUGCUUAUGUGGUGUUGGCGCUUUAGUCUAGACCUUGGAUGUUACAUUAUGACACAAUGAUUUUUUUUGUUUUGUGUGCUGGAGCUAGCUAGCUCUGAAGUUUCGAGGACUGAAAUUCUUAUGUUAGGUUAGCUGUUGCUUUGGUACGAGAUCCACAUAUUUUUUGUCCCGUCUCUUCUUACAUAUGGCAUGUAUCCAUCAGAACGAGAUCUCAUCAAUCACCAUGUUUUGUCUAGCUGCUUUAGAUUGUUCGAUGGGGCAUCAUACUAUUUUAAUUUUUUAAUGGAGUAGUUAUAUCAUGGAUUAUUUUCUCACUGCUUGCUCCUAUAAUCAGAGUUACUUAGUUAUGCUCUGUUCUUUCGGUUAUUAAGUAUUAACAGUAGAUUCAAAGAGCAGUUCUGUACCGCAUUAAAGUGUCAUAUAUUUCGGAGCAUUUUAUAGUAUCAAAAUAUUGACAACCCCUCAAAUUGGCCAGAAAGGUCAGUAAACAGUGACGCCGAUGAAGAUCCUUCACAAAGCACACCCGAUGAUGGUAACAAGCCCAACUCUGAAGAAAACAAGUAUAAGGAAAUGAUAUUUGGAGAGGAUGCUUUGAAGAUCCCUCCUUCUGCACCAUACUGUUUGGGUCGCCCGAUCAGGAGAGGCCAUUUUAAUAUUUCUCAGAAUUAUUCGUUACAUCAGGUAUGCCUCUAGAUUCCAUAUGAUCCUUAUCUUAAAAGAAUCAGCUAGUUAUAGUAAUAAGUGCCGUAACUAAAACCACUACACUUAUUAUGGAUCGGAGGGACUAUUAAACAACUUUGCCCUUUAAAUGGGAAGUUCAGUUUGAGUUCAUUGUCUGAGACUUUCCAUUGUUACACUGUCAGUUCUAUAAAUAUCUAGUAGGGGUGUAUUGUUUUGGCUCCACUGUAAUCAGUAUGGGGAAUGGUAUUUCUUGUAGCAUUGUUUUAUCAAGGGAAAAAUGUUUUGAAUCAGAUUUGUGACAGGAUUUUGGUCAAUCCGGUUGCAAAUAUGUACUGAAAUUUAUGGAAAACAGUAGUUGAGAGGUCUACUGAAAUGUACUGAAGAAGGCAAAUUCUGCCUAUUUCUUUGCGUGCAAAUUUUCCAUCACCCAAUCCUAAACAGAUCUUCAUGAAAAAGCUUCCGCUGCACCCUGCAUUGUCUAAAGGCACCAUAUUUACACGAAAGGGUUUACCUAAUUUUGCACCUACUUCACUGGUAAAACAUAAAAUUGAGCAGUUUAUUCUGCCGGUAAGGCAGUUAUUAAGUUUUAAAUAUAAAGUCUUGUGGUAUAAUAUUUUAGAGUAUCUAUAUUAGCUAAUGGAAUUGAACCAUGAAGUCCUUAUACUAACAACUGUGGAGCUUGGGUUCAAAGUUAAGAACUAAAAUUGUUCCAUAUUACUUGUUAUUCUUUGCCUUUAUAGUUUAUUUAUUUUACUGCAUUUGUUUGCUGCCACUGACGAACCAUAAAGAAAGACUAGGAAUUAGGUCAUGAGUUGUAAUCCUGGCCUACAUAUUAGAAAAUUUACAUUGAAAACACAGCUGGAUUGUUUUUUCUUGGUUGAAAUUGAUGGUAUCUGGCGCAGAAAGUGUUGGAGAAGAGAUGAUGCACAUGAUAACCCUGUGUUUCUAACUGGUUACCAAACCUAUGUGCGUCCAUAUUAUUUUUCCUUAUAUAUAGCAUCAUAAUGGUAGAUGAUUAGGAAAAACAAACAUUGGCCGUUGCAGGUUUUAGAAGAUUUACGAACUAUUUGGAAUUGGAUGCUGAUAGAGAAGUUGCACAUCAACCCAAAGGACAGACAUCUGUAUUCUGCAAUUCUUGUUCUUGGGGAAACAUUUGACAACCGAGGUAUUUCUCUUUUCAUGUAAUACUGCCUGUGAUGUGUAGACGUAUGUCAUGUAGUGCUGCUCAUAUGCGCCGCCGCAAGGCUGAGUAUCCUUUAGGGCUGGUGACAUGAUCCUCAGGUGGAGCAGGAUAUCCUUAGUAAUAAUUAGGUAGUUAGUUCUUAAGUUUGUUCACUUGCCUUAUCCUUGAAAUUUGCUCAAGCUUUCCUCAUCUCCGAAACCUAUAUAUAAGGGAGGCUGCCAUUGUAAUCUCAAGAAACCAUCAUAUUGAAGGACAUUAAUCCAAUCCCAUGGCUGGCCGAUUGUCAUCUUGGCAUGGUAAUUUACACUGAUGUGGAAAAAAGAUCACCUCGUUUUGCUUUACCUUCAAUUUGGAUGUCAACGCUGUAGUUAUCCCACAUAUACAACAGCAAUGAAUACCUUUCACUAUUAUUUUCCCUAAAUUACACGGUACUAAACAGCAGUUGCAGGAAGAAAAAUGCAGAAAUACAUCGUGUAUGUGAAGAUCACAGUUUCCAGCAUUUGACUAGGUGUCAAUGCCAUGUUUUCUGCCAAUACUGAUAUUUAUGUGUAAUUCCUUUUUUCUGAACUCCUAACAACUCAAAUCUGUUCAUUCAACACGAAUUUCAAAUGCUGGGCAGAACACACUUUCCUAGCAACGAGCGAAAUCCACACCGUUAGUUCUUCAAUAGAUUCUUUCAUGAAAUCCAUGACCCAUUACUCCGUUAGUUUAAUAGCCUUGAAUUGAUGAUUCAUAUAGGAAAUCUUGAGUACAUACUGUUUGCUUUAUCUUUUUUCAACACCUUCUACAGUUCUAGUGCAAAGUGUAUGUUCCACUGCAUAAGGAAGUUUUCUUAUUUUUUGAAGUUGUGAUUUUUUUAAUAUAUCCAUCCAUCAGAAAUGAAAGAGAUGCUGUCCAUUGUACUUUGCGAUUUGGGAUUUAGCACUGCAGUGGUACAUCAGGUUCGUCCCCAAUCGUCCAUUUAGCAUUUACUUCCUAUUAAGUUUUGAAUGCACGAUUUGUUUCUCCAUUUGCAAUUGCUAAGCAAAGUAAUUGGACCGUUCAUCCCAAAAUGGAACAUCUUUCCAGCAUACUGGGAUAGUUUCCUCAAUUCUGAGACUGUUGUACUAUGCUAAAUUGCUAACCACUAAGAAGUUGUAUUUACCGAGUGGAGUGCGAUCUGGCAUUAGUACAUGAUGCGGUCGCCUUUAAGGAAUUGCUCUGAUGAAGUAAUUUUACUCGUGCGUCGAUGUCUAUAUUCUUUUUCUUUUUACAUAACUACAUAAUGCUGGCAAGGGGGAGCCCUUCAUCGACAUGGGCCAAUCCAUCACUGUAGAGUGCCAGAACUGUGUGGCCGUGUAGGGUCGCCACUGUAGUGAUGCCAUGUCGAUGCAGUCGUGCCGUCGUGGAUGACGCGGUCGAUGUCGUCGUCGUGGCGCGGUCAUUGCCGCCGUCGGGGUCGCGCCUUGCAGAAAAAUCUGUUAGAGGACGCUAGGUGUCCAUCUUGUGGACGAGGGGUGGCGGCGUGUUGACGAAGAUGUUGAUGAAGACCUUGGCAAUGAAGCGUCGGCGAUGGCGUCGUAGCAGCGUGUCGACGAUAAUGUGCCGCUUGAAGGCGUCCCUUGCGGCGACCAAGUGUCGAUGCGGUGUCGCGUCGGAGAAGUCGAUGAAGAAUUGCAUCACUUUUCACACCGGCCUGACGUGUGGAUGAUGCGUGUUGAUGUGGCUUCUCAAAGAUAUGCUCGACAAAGAUUUUUUUUUCCAAACCAUGUAGUCGUACAGCUCAAUGUCGUGGUGCAGGGUCGGUGUAGAUCGCUCGUCUUGAUGCAGAUGCUACGGAGGACCGUUUGGCCGCGGGUACCGCUCCUGCGUCACCCAUCAAUGCGCGUCAGGAGAAGGCACUUGUGGGAGUCCAAGUCUUGCUGCAUGCAUCUCCUCGUAGGAGAUUGAUUCAUAUGGCCAUGUGCAUGAUGCCUAGAUGGAUACGUUAUCAUGCAUGGGCGUACCUACGCAUGGCUGGAUGAAGGCUCUGCUGGUCGCUUCACAGGAUGUUGUGGCGUUGAUGCAGAUCCGAUGGCAUCCCUGUUGGAGAAGCCGACGGCUA